UACAGAGGGUGCGAGCGUUGUCCGGAAUCACUGGGCGUAAAGGGCGCGUAGGCGGCCUGAUAAGUAGGGGGUGAAAUCCUGUGGCUUAACUGCAGGGCUGCCUCCUAGACUGUUAGGCUCGAGCACGGUAGAGGCAGAUGGAAUUCCCGGUGUAGCGGUGGAAUGCGUAGAGAUCGGGAAGAACAUCGGUGGCGAAGGCGGUCUGCUGGGCCGUUGCUGACGCUGAUGAGCGAAAGCUAGGGGAGCAAACGGG
rnacentral:rRNA from 1 species